GACGAACGCUGGCGGCGUGCUUAACACAUGCAAGUGGUGCGACGAACCAGGGCUUGCCCUGGGGCCAAGCCGCGAACGGGUGAGUAACACGUGAGUAACCUGCCCCGAUGAUUGGGACAACCCGAGGAAACUCGGGCUAAUACCGAAUGUGGUGCACAAUCGUAAGUUUGUGUACUAAAGGAAGCUUCGGCCUCCGCAUUGGGAGGGGCUCGCGGCCCAUUAGCUUGUUGGUGGGGUAACGGCCUACCAAGGCUGCGAUGGGUAGCUGGUCUGAGAGGACGAUCAGCCACACUGGGACUGAGACACGGCCCAGACUCCUACGGGAGGCAGCAGUGGGGAAUCUUGCGCAAUGCGCGAAAGCGUGACGCAGCAACGCCGCGUGAGGGAAGACGGCCUUCGGGUUGUAAACCUCUUUCAGGAGGGACGAAGGUUCGGCGGUGAAUAGCCGUCCGGAUUGACGGUACCUCCAGAAGAAGCUCCGGCUAACUACGUGCCAGCCGCCGCAGUAACAC
rnacentral:rRNA from 1 species